AGGACAGAUUACUGUAUUCGACUGUAUUCACCAGGGGAUUACACUGUAUUUAAACGGAAAGUAAAUCAAUUAACAUAAUAGACUCCU
rfam:Nicotiana attenuata strain TT chromosome 4, whole genome shotgun sequence.